rnacentral:rRNA from 1 species
GACGAACGCUGGCGGCGUGCCUAACACAUGCAAGUCGAGCGAAUGAAGUUCCUUCGGGAAUGGAUUUAGCGGCGGACGGGUGAGUAACACGUGGGCAACCUGCCUCAUAGAGGGGAAUAGCCUUCCGAAAGGGAGAUUAAUACCGCAUAAGAUUGUAGUACCGCAUGAUACAGCAAUUAAAGGAGCAAUCCGCUAUGAGAUGGGCCCGCGGCGCAUUAGCUAGUUGGUGAGGUAACGGCUCACCAAGGCGACGAUGCGUAGCCGACCUGAGAGGGUGAUCGGCCACAUUGGGACUGAGACACGGCCCAGACUCCUACGGGAGGCAGCAGUGGGGAAUAUUGCACAAUGGGGGAAACCCUGAUGCAGCAACGCCGCGUGAGUGAUGACGGCCUUCGGGUUGUAAAGCUCUGUCU